GUGUUCUCUUUGGCAGCAUGCAUUCUGACAUUGGAAGUGUGCAGAGGAGAUUAGCAUGGCCUCUGCAUAAGGAUGGUAUGCAAAUCUAUAAAGCAUGCCACAUUUCA